rnacentral:rRNA from 1 species
AUAUCAAUAAGCGGAGGAGAAGAAAUUAACUAAGAUUGCCCUAGUAACGGCGAGUGAAGCGGCAAGAGCCCAAAAUGGAAAUCUUGUACACUACGUGUGCACGAAUUGUAAUCUAAAGGAUGUUCUCUCAACGGGCGGUGACGCAGAAGUUCCUUAGAACGGGACGCCAGAGAGGGUGACAGCCCCGUAUGUGGUGUCGCUGCCUAACGAGAGGGUGUUCAACGAGUCGGGUUGUUUUGUAUUGCAGCCCUAAGUGGGAGAUAAACUUCUUCUAAGGCUAAAUAUAUAUGGGAGACCGAUAGCGCACAAGUA